rnacentral:ncRNA from 1 species
GCCCGCUGACCGAACUGUGGCCUUUAGGGUCUGCGUUCCCGCGUGGGAUAGGUCAACGGGCUUUU